UGGAACGAGUAGGUGUGUCAACGUUUGACUGGUACCGUAUCUAUGCUGCAUACCAUUUUGUGCUAUGAUGCUGUAGGUGUGAUCAAUUCUUGAUUAACUAAAUCUAAACUAUUCGGUUUCACAAAAAUAUCGCUUCCAGUCAGAGGCAUACUCAGUAGGAACAACACGUACGAUUCAAUGUGUCCUUCGCUAUCAAAUAAGAGUUUAAAACACGUUAUCACAGGUCUCCCAUUUUCCGGCUGUAGAAGUGGGAGAUGUUGUAGUUUACUCUCGCGUGACUACGUGGUCUAAAAUGGACUACAAUGACAGCCAACCCACCAKGGGCGGUAAAUGGGAGACUGGAUAAAAAAGCGUGUUUAAAACGCUUAUUUGAUAGCCAAGGACACAUUCCACACAAUCAUGGAAAAAAACUGCUCCCUGACUUUUGAGGCCCAUGCACUGGGGAAGGCUUGUGUUCAGGGACACCGUGGGUUAGUGUUUGAGGUGCUGGCCCCACGCUUCUCCUUCUUUGGUGUCUAAUGAUCACGACCCUCAUGUCCUUUCCACUGUCAUAGCUACUGUAGUUCAUGCUGGGAGGGAUGCAGAAACAACCUGGACAGUAGCAUAGUGCGUGUGAGGGGCAUGGUGAUGGUGGAGUGUCUGCGCUCCUGCAUGCACAUCAAUGUAGUCAAGCUCAAAUUUGGGGUACAGUAUGGAGCUGACCCAGACUCAAAGCUGGAUAGGUAAGAGAUAGCAUUAUCAUAAUCAAAUUCAUAACACUCUGUAAUACCUCUUGUUAUACACUAUUAACAUGUUGUCUGUGAGACUGAAGUUUUAGAUUUAAUUCAAAUCACUACAACUUAAUUAAUAUUCCCACGGACAGUUAAGAAGGCAUGGUAUUGUCACACCCUGGCCUUAGUUAUCUUUGUUUUCAUUAUUAUUUUAGUUAGGUCAGG